GUCUGGUUAUUUCAUGAACAUUUGUUUAAAUAUUGUAAAUGUUGUCAACGUUUGUAACAGUAAUGAGUACAUUAGAAUAUCCGAUAAUUCAAUUUUAAAUCAUGUGCUCUGGUUAGGUUGAAGAGAAACGCGGUGGUUAUCUAUUUAAAGGAAUUAAACCCCCCAAAUAAAUGUUGAUAGUGUUUAAAUUUUUUUUCUGGCAAACUAAGUUUUUUAUACAUUUAAUUAUACUAGACCUCUAGUAGUAGUCGAAAUUCGACUAUAAUUAAUUGGAAUUGCUUAAGAGACACUCCUAUACGUGAUGCUAAGGCUGGCUGAUACUUUGCACAGAGAGUGAGUCUGACUGUCCCAUGAGGUAAUGCAGCCAGGAUCUUGGGAACUGUGCCUCCUUUAAGCGCAUUGGAAGAUUUGCUCUACUGUAUAAAUUGAUUUAUGUUAAAUUAUUUUGAUAUGUUAGAUUAUUAAAAAAAAAUUUAAGAGACA